GACGAACGCUGGCGGCGUGCUUAACACAUGCAAGUCGUACGGUAAGGCCCUUUCGGGGGUACACGAGUGGCGAACGGGUGAGUAACACGUGAGUAACCUGCCCACAACUUUGGGAUAACGCUAGGAAACUGGUGCUAAUACUGGAUAUGUGCUCCUGCUGCAUGGUGGGGGUUGGAAAGCUCCGGCGGUUGUGGAUGGACUCGCGGCCUAUCAGCUUGUUGGUGGGGUAGUGGCCUACCAAGGCGGCGACGGGUAGCCGGCCUGAGAGGGUGACCGGCCACAUUGGGACUGAGAUACGGCCCAGACUCCUACGGGAGGCAGCAGUGGGGAAUAUUGCACAAUGGGCGCAAGCCUGAUGCAGCAACGCCACGUGCGGGAUGACGGCCUUCGGGUUGUAAACCGCUUUCAGCAGGGACGAAGCUUUUUGUGACGGUACCUGCAGAAGAAGCACCGGCUAACUACGUG
rnacentral:rRNA from 1 species